UUCCCCCGCGGUAAUUCCAGCUCCAAUAGCGUAUAUUAAAGUUGUUGCAGUUAAAAAGCUCGUAGUUGAAUUUCGGGAUCAAUCUAUCGGUCGUGCAAUAGUACGUACUGAUUUUAUUGAUUCCUCCCUUCUGAUGAACUAUGAUGUCAUUAAUUUGGUGUCAUAGGGAAUCAGGACUGUUACUUUGAAAAAAUUAGAGUGUUUAAAGCAGGCUCACGCUUGAAUACAUUAGCAUGGAAUAAUAAAAUAGGACGGUGGUCCUGUUUUGUUGGUUUCUGAAUCACCGUAAUGAUUAAUAGGGAUAGUUGGGGGCAUUAGUAUUCAAUUGUCAGAGGUGAAAUUCUUGGAUUUAU
rnacentral:rRNA from 1 species